rnacentral:rRNA from 1 species
AUACGUAGGGGGCAAGCGUUGUCCGGAUUUAUUGGGGGUAAAGGGAACGCAGGCGGUCGUGUAAGUCAGAUGUGAAAUCCUUCGGCUUAACCCAUGAGCUGCAUUGGAAACUGGAAGACUUGAGUGAAGAAGAGGAGGGUGGAAUUCCCAGUGUAGAGGUGAAAGGCGUAGAUAUAAGGAAGAACACCAGUGGCAAAAGCGGCUCUCUGGUCUGUAACUGACGCUGAGGUUCGAAAGCGUGGGGAGCGAACAGGAUUAGAUACCCUGGUAGUCCACGCUGUAAACGAUGAAUGCUAGGUGUUGGAGGGUUUCCGCCCUUCGGUGCCGCAGCUAACGCACUAAGCAUUCCGCCUGGGGAGUACGACCGCAAGGUUGAAACUUAAAGGAAUUGACGGGG